UACAGAGGGGGCAAGCGUUGUUCGGAAUUACUGGGCGUAAAGGGCGCGUAGGCGGCCCUCUAAGUCGAACGUGAAAUCCCCGGGCUCAACCCGGGAACUGCGUCCGAUACUGGGGGGCUUGAAUUCGGGAGAGGGAUGCGGAAUUCCAGGUGUAGCGGUGAAAUGCGUAGAUAUCUGGAGGAACACCAAUGGCGAAGGCAGCACUCUGGGACGUGACUGACGCUGAGACGCGAAAGCGUGGGGAGCAAACAGG
rnacentral:rRNA from 1 species